UACGUAGGGUGCAAGCGUUAAUCGGAAUUACUGGGCGUAAAGCGUGCGCAGGCGGUUUUGUAAGACAGAGGUGAAAUCCCCGGGCUCAACCUGGGAACUGCCUUUGUGACUGCAAGGCUUGAGUGCGGCAGAGGGGGAUGGAAUUCCGCGUGUAGCAGUGAAAUGCGUUGAUAUCCACAGGAACUCCGGUGGCGAAGGCGAGGUGCUGGACCCCAUCUGACGCUGAGGCGCGAAAGCCAGGGGAGCAAACGGG
rnacentral:rRNA from 1 species